rnacentral:rRNA from 1 species
AGAGUUUGAUCCUGGCUCAGGACGAACGCUGCGGCGUGCUUAACACAUGCAAGUCGAACGAUGAAGCCUAGCUUGCUAGGUGGAUUAGUGGCGAACGGGUGAGUAAUACGUGAGUAACCUACCUUUAACUCUGGGAUAAGCCCGGGAAACUGGGUCUAAUACCGGAUACGCCAAUCUCCGCAUGGGGUGUUGGUGGAAAGCGUUAUGUAGUGGUUAUAGAUGGGCUCACGGCCUAUCAGCUUGUUGGUGAGGUAACGGCUCACCAAGGCGACGACGGGUAGCCGGCCUGAGAGGGUGACCGGCCACACUGGGACUGAGACACGGCCCAGACUCCUACGGGAGGCAGCAGUGGGGAAUAUUGCACAAUGGGCGCAAGCCUGAUGCAGCGACGCCGCGUGAGGGAUGACGGCCUUCGGGUUGUAAACCUCUGUUAGCAGGGAAGAAGAGAAAUUGACGGUACCUGCAGAGAAAGCGCCGGCUAACUACGUG